GCCACGUCUAGCCCCGGGUAAUUCCCUGGGGCGAACAGCCGGAAAUCCCUUCACCGGCUUGGCGCUGGUACCUUUGAAGGC
rnacentral:sRNA from 1 species